rnacentral:rRNA from 1 species
GUGAAUUCCCGACUUGUCGGGAUAGUAAACUGGCGAACGGGUGAGUAACGCGUAGGUAAUCUGCCCUUGGGAUUGGGAUAAUCCGCCGAAAGGCGGGCUAAUACCGAAUAAAGUCCCGAUACUUAAGCAUUGGGAUGAAAGGUGGGGAUUUUCGGACCUGCUACCUAAGGAUGAGCCUGCGUCUGAUUAGCUAGUUGGUAGAUUAAAAGCCUACCAAGGCUACGAUCAGUAGCUGGUCUGAGAGGAUGAUCAGCCACAUUGGGACUGAGAUACGGCCCAGACUCCUACGGGAGGCAGCAGUGGGGAAUUUUGCGCAAUGGCCGAAAGGCUGACGCAGCAACGCCGCGUGACUGAUUGAAGCUCUGAGGAGUGUAAAGGUCUGUUGUGGGAGAAGAAAAAAUCAGAGGAUAAUAUGUUCUGAUUCUGACGGUAUCCCAUAAGAAAGCUCCGGCUAACUCCGUGCCAGCAGCCGCGGUAAUACGGGGGGAGCAAGCGUUGUCCGGAAUUAUUGGGCGUAAAGAGCGUGUAGGUGUCUCGAUAAGUUUUUUGUGAAAUGCUUCCGCUCAACGGAAGAGCUGCAAGAAAUACUGUCGGGAUUGAGUUCAGAAGGGGGAAGCGGAAUUCCUGGUGUAGCGGUGAAAUGCGUAGAUAUCAGGAAGAACACCGGUAGCGAAGGCGGCUUCCUGGUCUGAAACUGACACUGAGACGCGAAAGCGUGGGGAGCGAACAGGAUUAGAUACCCUGGUAGUCCACGCCGUAAACGAUGGAUACUUGGUGUUGGGAGUUCGACCCUCUCAGUACCGUAGCUAACGCGUUAAGUAUCCCGCCUGGGGACUACGACCGCAAGGUUGAAACUCAAAGGAAUUGACGGGGGCCCGCACAAGCAGCGGAGCGUGUGGUUUAAUUCGAUGCAACGCGAAGAACCUUACCAAGGCUUGACAUGUCGGAAGUAGCGACCCGAAAGGGAAGCCACCUGUUGAGUCAGGAGCCGUCACAGGUGCUGCAUGGCUGUCGUCAGCUCGUGCUGUGAAGUGUUAGGUUAAGUCCUGUAACGAGCGCAACCCUCGUUGCCAGUUGUUUUCUCUGGCGAGACUGCCCUGCAAAAUGGGGAGGAAGGUGGGGAUGACGUCAAGUCAGCACGGCCCUUAUGCCUUGGGCUACACACACGCUACAAUGGGUGGUACAAUGGGUAGCAAUAGAGCAAUCUGGAGCCAAUCCUGUAAAGCCAUCCUCAGUUCGGAUUGCAGGCUGAAACCCGCCUGCAUGAAGUCGGAGUUGCUAGUAACCGCAGGUCAGCAUACUGCGGUGAAUACGUUCUCGGGCCUUGUACACACCGCCCGUCACGUCAUGAAAGUUGGCAACACCUGAAGUCGAUGGGCUAACCCCGACUUGUCGGGGGGGCA